UCAUUAAAUCAGUUAUUGUUUAUUUGAUGGUACCUUUACUACUUGGAUAACCGUGGUAAUUCUAGAGCUAAUACAUGCUAAAAACCCCGACUCAAGAAGGGGUGUAUUUAUUAGAUUCAAACCAGUGUCCCUCGGGACUUUUUGGUGACUCAUAAUAACUUAACGCAGCGCAUGGCCUUCGUGCCGGCGCGGGAUCAUUCAAAUACCUGCCCUAUCAAGUUUCGAUGUGAGGGUAGUGUCCUCACAUGCUUUUGACGGGUAACGGGGAAUUAGGGUUCGACUCCGGAGAGGGAGCCUGAGAAACGGCUACCACAUCCAAGGAAGGCAGCAGGCGCGCAAAUUACCCAAUCCCGAUACGGGGAGGUAGUGACAAGAAAUACCGAUUCAGGAUCUUAUUGGAUCUUGAGAUUGGAAUGAGUACAAUUCAAACCCAUUAACGAGGAACAACUAGAGGGCAAGUCUGGUGCCAGCAGCCGCGGUAAUUCCAGCUCUAGUAGCGUAUAUUAAAAUUGUUGCAGUUAAAACGCUCGUAGUUGAACUUUGGGCUUGGCUGGCUGGUCCGCCUCACCGCGAGCACUGGUCCGGCUGGGCCUUUCCUCUUGGGGAUCCACAUGCCCUUCACUUGGGUGUGUUGGGGAACCAGGACUUUUACUUUGAAAAAAUUAGGGUGUUCAAAGCAGGCAUUUGCUCGAAUACAUUAGCAUGGGAUAAUAGAAUAGGACGUGUGG
rnacentral:rRNA from 1 species